GACGAACGCUGGCGGCGUGCUUAACACAUGCAAGUCGAACGAGGUCCACCGCGUAGCAAUACAAGGGAAGACCUAGUGGCGAACGGGUGCGUAACACGUGAGGAACUUGUCCCGGUCUCUGGGAUAACAGUUGGAAACGACUGCUAAUACCGGAUGACGUCGGAAUCUCGCAUGGGAUACUGACGAAAGGGUUACUGGAUCGGGAGAGCCUCGCGGCCUAUCAGCUUGUUGGUGAGGUAACGGCUCACCAAGGCAUCGACGGGUAGCUGGUCUGAGA
rnacentral:rRNA from 1 species